ensembl:lncRNA
AAAAGGUAACAGAGCCAGACCUUUGUCCCAGAGCCAGACCUCCACCUCCUCACCCAGAGCCAGACCUCCACCUCCUCACCCAGAGCCAGACCUCCAGACCUCCUGUCAGAAGUCCUCCAGAACAGCUGAAAGGCGAGGCUGAGAGGCUGGGGACCGGAGGCUUGUGGUGCCAGGGUGGACCGGAGACUGAGGCUGGAGACCAGGGGCCUGCAGCACCGGACCAGAGGACCAGGAAUCCAUGGCUGAACGAGCUGAUGGAGGAGCUGAUGGAGGAGCCAUGCUGAAGGAGCUGAUGGGAGACGUGCUGAAGGCCCUGGGCUGGUGGAGGAGCUGGUGGCGGGCCUGCCUGGUGAAUGACGUCUGUCGUGGGACCAGGACUCUGUCUGAGGAGAGCUGCUGGAGGAGCUGAGACGCUGGAGGACGACUAGGAAUCGACCAACAAGGAUUCCUCAACGUGUUUCUGGAGCGGAGGCGAGCUGGUAGGGGAGCCGUGAAUCUGGAGGAUGACCAUCACUCUACCAACAAGGAUUACCAGGACUCUGGCUGAGGAGAGCUGAUGGAGGAGCCAAGACUCUGGAGGACGACAUCACUCCACCAACCAGGAUCCUUACCAGGAAUCUGGAGGACUGAUGGAGAAGCCGUACAUCUGGAAGGCAAAUCCUGAGGACCACCAGGACUCUACCAUCAAGGAUUCCUCAUAAAUUUGCAUUAUCUGGACAUAGUGGACUAGACACACCUGAGCUGAACCUCACCUGAUCCUGUUUGGUCGGGGGUAGACACACCUGAGCUAAACCCGCCCUGAUCCUGACAUCCUGCUGGUCCCGUCUCCUCAGUUCAUCUGAGCCUCGUCCUCCAGAAGACCUGCUGAGCUCAGCAGUCUGAGGCUGAUGGAUCAAUGACCUCCAGUGGGAGUGAUCUUCUUGACCCCACAUGUAACCGUGUGCUUCCACACGCCUUUCCCUCACGUCUGUCACUAACCUCACUACUUCACUACUCUCUACUGCUUCCUCUUCUUCUUUCCUUCUGUGGUUCAAACCUUUACACUGAAGGCGCGUCUUCCUGCCCUCAGAGGGUUUAGCGUUAGGGUUGAGAGUCAGGGUUUAGAGUCAGGGACAGAGCUGGUCAGGGAGGACUGCUUUUACAAAAACCUCUUCACUUGCUUUCGGAAUGGUGGUGACAUUUUGAAAAGAUUAAUUUGGGAAAAUGUUUUCCUCUGCUUUCCUUUACAAAAUUGUAUCAAACUUAUGUCAAGUGUUU